UUGGAGCCGUCGGUUUU
rnacentral:miRNA from 1 species